rnacentral:rRNA from 1 species
AUUGAACGCUGGCGGAAUGCUUUACACAUGCAAGUCGAACGGUAGAGGGGGCAACCCCUCGAGAGUGGCGAACGGGUGAGUAAUAUAUCGGAACGUGCCCAGUCGUGGGGGAUAACGUAGCGAAAGUUACGCUAAUACCGCAUACGAUCUAAGGAUGAAAGCGGGGGAUCGCAAGACCUCGCGCGAUUGGAGCGGCCGAUAUCAGAUUAGGUAGUUGGUGGGGUAAAGGCUCACCAAGCCAACGAUCUGUAGCUGGUCUGAGAGGACGACCAGCCACACUGGAACUGAGACACGGUCCAGACUCCUACGGGAGGCAGCAGUGGGGGAUCUUGGACAAUGGACGCAAGUCUAAUCCAGCCAUUCCGCGUGCAGGAUGAAGGCCCUCGGGUUGUAAACUGCUUUUGUACGGAACGAAAAGGUCUCUCUUAAUACGGGGGACUCAUGACGGUACCGUAAGAAUAAGCACCGGCUAACUACGUGCCAGCCGCCGCAGUAAUAC